UACGUAGGUGGCAAGCGUUGUCCGGAAUUAUUGGGCGUAAAGCGCGCGCAGGCGGUCCUUUAAGUCUGAUGUGAAAGCCCACGGCUCAACCGUGGAGGGUCAUUGGAAACUGGGGGACUUGAGUGCAGGAGAGAAGAGUGGAAUUCCACGUGUAGCGGUGAAAUGCGCAGAUAUCAGGAAGAACACCCGUGGCGAAGGCGGCUCUCUGGAACGCAACUGACGCUGAGACGCGAAAGCGUGGGGAGCAAACAGG
rnacentral:rRNA from 1 species